rnacentral:rRNA from 1 species
CUUGGUCAUUUAGAGGAAGUAAAAGUCGUAACAAGGUCUCCGUUGGUGAACCAGCGGAGGGAUCAUUACCGAGUUUACAACUCCCAAACCCCUGUGAACAUACCUUAUGUUGCCUCGGCGGAUCAGCCCGCGCCCCGUAAAAAGGGACGGCCCGCCGCAGGAACCCUAAACUCUGUUUUUAGUGGAACUUCUGAGUAUAAAAAACAAAUAAAUCAAAACUUUCAACAACGGAUCUCUUGGUUCUGGCAUCGAUGAAGAACGCAGCAAAAUGCGAUAAGUAAUGUGAAUUGCAGAAUUCAGUGAAUCAUCGAAUCUUUGAACGCACAUUGCGCCCGCCAGUAUUCUGGCGGGCAUGCCUGUUCGAGCGUCAUUUCAACCCUCAAGCCCAGCUUGGUGUUGGGAGCUGCAGUCCUGCUGUACUCCCCAAAUACAUUGGCGGUCACGUCGAGCUUCCAUAGCGUAGUAAUUUACAUAUCGUUACUGGUAAUCGUCGCGGCCACGCCGUUAAACCCCAACUUCUGAAUGUUGACCUCGGAUCAGGUAGGAAUACCCGCUGAACUUAAGCAUAUCAAUAAGCGGAGGA